GAGUCCACAGUCACAAUAACAAGAUCAUUGGGCUGUCCCCUAAUUGUGGUGAGCUACAUGUUUAGUCUCUUAUGUGCUAAACAUUAUGUAGCCUAAGGAAGCAGCCCUGACUCUGGAGUUUAUAUGAAGGAGCAUGCUUAGUAACUAUCCAGAAUGUAGGUCCAAAGCAGAAAAAAAGAGCACCAAGCAGAAACAUACCAUCUAAACUCCUUCGAUUCCUGUCAGACCAGAAAGACUUUCAGAAUCCUUGGAAGAUUUAAAGCCAUUGAAGUAUCAGUAUUGGAGCGGAAGAAAACCCAGUUGUAUCGUCUGUUUCCUGCCAUCUUGCAGUUUAACCUGGUUUCUUAAUGUAAAGUACUUGUAAUUUGCCCACUUGUCCUCAAUUAUCUUAAAGCUAACAUUUAAAACUAAUUUGCUAUGAGAUUAUUUGCCAAGACCUCUCACUGUGUGAUUCACAUGUCAAUAUGUAUUAUUGUGUGUAUAACUAG